GACGAACGCUGGCGGCGUGCUUAACACAUGCAAGUCGAACGGAAAGGCCCUGCUUUUGUGGGGUGCUCGAGUGGCGAACGGGUGAGUAACGCGUGAGUAACCUGCCCUUGACUUUGGGAUAACUUCAGGAAACUGGGGCUAAUACCGGAUAGGAGCUCCUGCUGCAUGGUGGGGGUUGGAAAGUUUCGGCGGUUGGGGAUGGACUCGCGGCUUAUCAGCUUGUUGGUGGGGUAGUGGCUUACCAAGGCUUUGACGGGUAGCCGGCCUGAGAGGGUGACCGGCCACAUUGGGACUGAGAUACGGCCCAGACUCCUACGGGAGGCAGCAGUGGGGAAUAGUGCACAAUGGGCGGAAGCCUGAUGCAGCAACGCCGCGUGCGGGAUGACGGCCUUCGGGUUGUAAACCGCUUUCGCUUGUGACGAAGCGUGAGUGACGGUAAUGGGUAAAGAAGCACCGGCUAACUACGUG
rnacentral:rRNA from 1 species